UACGGAGGGUGCGAGCGUUGUCCGGAAUCACUGGUCGUAAAGGGCGCGUAGGCGGCGCGGGCAGUCAACGGUGAAAGCUUGGGGCUCAACCCCGAGUCGGCCGUCGAUACUCCCGGGCUGGAGCACUGUAGAGGCAGGUGGAAUUCCGGGUGUAGCGGUGGAAUGCGUAGAGAUCCGGAAGAACACCGGUGGCGAAGGCGGCCUGCUGGGCAGUAGCUGACGCUGAGGCGCGACAGCGUGGGGAGCGAACAGG
rnacentral:rRNA from 1 species